GAAAGCAGGUUGGUAUAGCUAAUUAAUCCAAGCGUUUUUUUUAGCCCCAAUUCAGGUGAGAAUUUACGGCAAAGAAGAGCACAAGUUCGAGGUGGGCCAUUUCUUCUCAGACGAACCUGGCUAUUACCAAGACAAUGAAUGGGGCAUUCGUCUGGAGACCAUUUUGAGCGUCAUCACUAAGGAAACCAAGUACAAGUUCGGUGGACAGUGGUUAGGUUUUGAGGCCAUCACGUUGGUGCCAUUCGAAUUCAAGCUCAUCAAUUCCUCCAUGCUGAGUAACGUGCAGUGUCACUGGCUGAACUCGUACCACGCCCGCGUGCUCGAAGUCGUCGGGGCGGAACUUCGACGACAAGGGCGCGUGGAGGCCUAUGAUUGGCUCGUGCUGAAGACCGACCCGCUCGUCUGCGCCCACGUGGACGAAAGGACA